AAAAGUCGUCGUCUUCUUCUUCGU
rnacentral:sRNA from 1 species